GUGCCAGCCGCCGCGGUAAGACGAACCGUGCGAACGUUGUUCGGAUUCACUGGGCUUAAAGGGCGCGUAGGCGGCUUGCCAAGUCUGUGGUGAAAUCUUUCGGCUCAACCGGAAAACGGCCGUGGAUACUGGCAAGCUCGAGGGGGGUAGGGGCCGUGGGAACUGCCGGUGGAGCGGUGAAAUGCGUUGAGAUCGGCAGGAACGCCGGUGGCGAAAGCGCACGGCUGGGCCCUCCCUGACGCUGAGGCGCGAAAGCCAGGGGAGCAAACGGGAUUAGAAACCCUAGUAGUCC
rnacentral:rRNA from 1 species